AAUAAUAAUAAUUGGAUUUUGAAAAUUUUCAGGGCUUGUUCCUAUCAUUAGAAGCAACGACUCUGCCAAGUUUCAAAUCAGUCCCUUAAUUUAUACCAAAGUCAU